rnacentral:rRNA from 1 species
AUUGAACGCUGGCGGCAGGCUUAACACAUGCAAGUCGAGCGGUAGCACAGGGGAGCUUGCUCCCUGGGUGACGAGCGGCGGACGGGUGAGUAAUGUCUGGGAAACUGCCUGAUGGAGGGGGAUAACUACUGGAAACGGUAGCUAAUACCGCAUAACGUCGCAAGACCGAAGAGGGGGACCUUCGGGCCUCUUGCCAUCAGAUGUGCCCAGAUGGGAUUAGCUAGUAGGUGGGGUAAUGGCUCACCUAGGCGACGAUCCCUAGCUGGUCUGAGAGGAUGACCAGCCACACUGGAACUGAGACACGGUCCAGACUCCUACGGGAGGCAGCAGUGGGGAAUAUUGCACAAUGGGCGCAAGCCUGAUGCAGCCAUGCCGCGUGUGUGAAGAAGGCCUUCGGGUUGUAAAGCACUUUCAGCGAGGAGGAAGGUGGUGAACUUAAUACGCUCAUCAAUUGACGUUACUCGCAGAAGAAGCACCGGCUAACUCCGUGCCAGCCGCCGCUGUAA